AAAGAAUUAGUUAAAUCAUAACAUAAAUAUGUCAAAUUUAAAUUAUUAUAAAGAUAUUAUUCUUUU
rnacentral:tRNA from 1 species